rnacentral:SRP_RNA from 1 species
CCGUGCUAGAUGGGGAGGCAGCGGUGCCCUGUAACCCGCAAUCCGCUACAGCGGGAUUGAAUCCCUGUCAGAGGUCUUGUUGAUGUGAGGUCUGACGUUUAUACGAAGUGUUGACAGCCGGGUCCCUCGCAAUGGAUGCCCGUGAAUCCGGUCAGGUCCGGAAGGAAGCAGCCGUAAGUGGGAUGUUUCAUGUGCCGAGGGGUAGCCUAGCUUGAGCUUACGAUAAAUGUUCCGCUUGGGUCGCAAUGAUCAAUGACAGGUGCACGG